UACGGGGGGUGCGAGCGUUGUCCGGAAUUACUGGGCGUAAAGGGCGCGUAGGCGGUCAGGUCAGUCCCGUGUGAAAUCCCUCGGCUCAACUGAGGAACUGCACGGGAAACUACCUGGCUUGAGUUCGGGAGAGGGAAGCGGAAUUCCGGGUGUAGCGGUGAAAUGCGUAGAUAUCCGGAGGAACACCGGUGGCGAAGGCGGCUUCCUGGACCGACACUGACGCUGAGGCGCGAAAGCUAGGGGAGCAAACGGG
rnacentral:rRNA from 1 species